rnacentral:rRNA from 1 species
UACGAAGGGGGCUAGCGUUGCUCGGAAUCACUGGGCGUAAAGGGUGCGUAGGCGGUCGGGUAAGUCUGAUGUGAAAUCUCCAAGCUUAACUUGGAAAUGGCAUCGGAUACUAUUCGGCUCGAGGAAUGGAGGGGAGACUGGAAUACUUGGUGUAGCAGUGAAAUGCGUAGAUAUCAAGUGGAACACCAGUGGCGAAGGCGAGUCUCUGGACAUUUCCUGACGCUGAGGCACGAAAGCCAGGGGAGCAAACGGG